rnacentral:tRNA from 1 species
UGGGUUGUGGCUCAGUGGUAGAGUGCUUACCUAGCAUGUGUGAAGCACUGGGUUUGAUCCUCAGCACCACAU